rnacentral:rRNA from 1 species
GUUGUUAAGGAAGAACGUGUGUGAGAGUGGAAAGUUCACACAGUGACGGUACUUAACCAGAAAGGGACGGCUAACUACGUGCCAGCAGCCGCGGUAAUACGUAGGUCCCGAGCGUUGUCCGGAUUUAUUGGGCGUAAAGCGAGCGCAGGCGGUUAGAUAAGUCUGAAGUGAAAGGCAGUGGCUCAACCCAUUGUAGGCUUUGGAAACUGUUUAACUUGAGUGCAGAAGGGGAGAGUGGAAUUCCAUGUGUAGCGGUGAAAUGCGUAGAUAUAUGGAGGAACACCGGUGGCGAAAGCGGCUCUCUGGUCUGUAACUGACGCUGAGGCUCGAAAGCGUGGGGAGCGAACAGGAUUAGAUACCCUGGUAGUCCACGCCGUAAACGAUGAGUGCUAGGUGUUAGGUCCUUUCCGGGACUUAGUGCCGCAGCUAACGCAUUAAGCACUCCGCCUGGGGAGUACGACCGCAAGGUUGAAACUCAAAGGAAUUGACGGGGGCCCGCACAAGCGGUGGAGCAUGUGGUUUAAUUCGAAGCAACGCGAAGAACCUUACCAGGUCUUGACAUCCCGAUGCCCGCUCUAGAGAUAGAGCUUUACUUCGGUACAUCGGUGACAGGUGGUGCAUGGUUGUCGUCAGCUCGUGU